UAUUUCCAACCACUCAUUCAAAUUUCAAAUUUCUAUUCUAUCUUUCUCUCUCCGCGUGGGCCCCACCCCACCAAUCAGAAUUCAAUACUCUCUCUCCCCCAAUUCACUCUCAUUCACGCUCUCUCCCCUUCCACUCUCGACAUCUCCCUCUCACUUUCUUCUUCUUCUCCAUUUUUCUGCUCCUCCAUUUUCCUCUGCAACCCUAAACCACACACCACCUCCUUCUCCUCGCAUGUCCGCCGCCACCCAAGGCCAAGCCGCCACCACAGCGAGCCUUCUCCUCUGCUCACGCGAACCACCACUUCCAUGCUUCUUCACCGCGAACGCACCACCACCAUAGGUGACCGCCGCCGCCUCCCUCAGUUCUCCAGCAAGCAUGGCAGCCACAACCGCCAUCACCCAUUCCCAGCGCCAUGAACGGCGCCACCAACGCAAGGACAAGAGAGAAAGCGAAACCCUAAAAACCGCCACCUUUCAACUCCGAUCUCCGGCGAACCACUGAGUUUUUGGAGAAACCAACCACACCACGGAACUCCCCUCGACGUGCGCUGCAAAACCCCUAAAGAAAUUUCUGAUUCAGACAAACUUCGUCGGGAACCGCCGCCGGCCACCGUGACCACUGUCUUCUCCGGCCAUCCUUCGCCGGAGAUGUCACUGAACUCAGAACCAGGAAGCUCUCCUCCUCCUCUUGCUGAAUUGAUUAUCAAUUUUGGAGCUUGAUGGUCCUCAGAGGAAGGCAGAAGCUGCUGUUAGAGAGGAUGAAGAACCAAUACAGAACCUUAGCCAUGAGGCUUAAGGUAGAAAAGGAUAUGUUUUUCUGUUUUGGGUAUCGUUUUAAUUCUUGUAGGGGCUGAAAAUGUAAGGGAAUUUGAGAUGGUUAAUCUCUAGUUAGUUCUGUUGUUUAUGUAUUGAUUACCUCUGGAUGAGCAUGGGUUCGAUAUUAGAUUAGGAGAAGUUAUGCUGUUGUUGUCCUGUGAUUAUAGUAGCCGUUGUUCUGUCAAAUACGUAGGUUUAAUGACCGAAUUUGAAGUAGUCUUCAUAUAAAUUGUAGAAUUUUCUGUUAGCAAACUUUUGCCACUGGUUUCAUGUAAUUUCGAUUUCUCUAGCUCAAGUUAUACGCUUUUUAGUGAGCACGGGUUAAGCUGUCCCGUUUCUCACGAA